rnacentral:rRNA from 1 species
UACGGAGGAUGCGAGCGUUAUCCGGAUUUAUUGGGUUUAAAGGGUGCGUAGGCGGACUAUUAAGUCAGUGGUGAAAGUUUGUCGCUUAACGGUAAAAUUGCCGUUGAUACUGGUAGUCUUGAGUGUAUUUGAGGUAGGCGGAAUGUGUGGUGUAGCGGUGAAAUGCUUAGAUAUCACACAGAACACCGAUUGCGAAGGCAGCUUGCUAAGAUACAACUGACGCUGAGGCACGAAAGUGUGGGGAUCAAACAGGAUUAGAUACCCU